rnacentral:rRNA from 1 species
GGUUGAAGCAAAGUAACACUUGUGGAGGACCGAACUAGUAACUGUUGAAAAGUUUUGGAUGAGUUGUGGAUAGGGUGAAAGGCCAAUCAAACUUGGAGAUAUCUUGUCUCCCCGAAAUAACUUUCGGGUUAGCCUCAAACGAAUUCUUUCUAGGGGUAAAGCACUGAAUUCACGCGGGGGCCUACCGGCCUACCAAAGGAAAAUCAAAACUCUGAAAUACUAGAAAGCAGUUUGGGAGAUAGACAGUGGGGGAUAAGCUUCAUUGUCAAGAGGGGAACAGCCCAGAUCGUCGAUUAAGGCCCCCUAAAUUUUUAUGCUAAGUGAGUAAGGAAGUUGAGUUUCUAAAAACAGUUGGGAUGUUGGCUUAGAGGCAGCCACCAUUUAAAGAGUGCGUAACAGCUCACCAAUCGAGAAACUCAGCGCCGAUAAUAUCCGGGAC